GAUGAACGCUGGCGGCGUGCCUAAUACAUGCAAGUCGAGCGAACAGAUGAGGAGCUUGCUCCUCUGACGUUAGCGGCGGACGGGUGAGUAACACGUGGAUAACCUACCUAUAAGACUGGGAUAACUUCGGGAAACCGGAGCUAAUACCGGAUAAUAUAUUGAACCGCAUGGUUCAAUAGUGAAAGACGGUUUUGCUGUCACUUAUAGAUGGAUCCGCGCCGCAUUAGCUAGUUGGUAAGGUAACGGCUUACCAAGGCAACGAUGCGUAGCCGACCUGAGAGGGUGAUCGGCCACACUGGAACUGAGACACGGUCCAGACUCCUACGGGAGGCAGCAGUAGGGAAUCUUCCGCAAUGGGCGAAAGCUUGACGGAGCAACGCCGCGUGAGUGAUGAAGGUCUUCGGAUCGUAAAACUCUGUUAUUAGGGAAGAACAAAUGUGUAAGUAACUAUGCACGUCUUGACGGUACCUAAGCAGAAAGCCACGGCUAACUACGU
rnacentral:rRNA from 1 species